rnacentral:rRNA from 1 species
UACAGAGGUCCCAAGCGUUGUUCGGAUUCACUGGGCGUAAAGGGUGCGUAGGCGGUCGGGUGAGUCUGAUGUGAAAUUCCGGAGCUUAACUCCGGAACGGCAUCGGAUACUGCUCGGCUAGAGGGUUGGAGGGGGGACUGGAAUUCUCGGUGUAGCAGUGAAAUGCGUAGAUAUCGAGAGGAACACCAGUGGCGAAGGCGAGUCCCUAGACAACUCCUGACGCUGAGGCACGAAAGCCAGGGGAGCAAACGGGAUUAGAUACCCCGGUAGUCCUGGCCCUAAACGGUGCAUGUUUGCUGUAAGAGGAUUCGACCCCUUUUGUGGCGAAGCUAACGCGUUAAACGUGCCGCCUGGGAAGUACGGCCGCAAGGUUA